rnacentral:lncRNA from 1 species
ACCGUGCUAGAUGAUCCCAAACUUCUUUUGCAGUUUCAUACUUAGCCAAUUGAUACCCAAUCGAGUGUUCAACGGAAUUGUUGAUCCAAGUGAUAAUCUUUGAAUUAUUAGCAUCCCAAGUAUCAAGCAACUCAGCAUAUUUAGCAUUAGUUGCAUCAGUAGGCUUAGUCAGGUUCCAGUAACAUAGCCCCACAUUUUUUUUUCUUUCAGAAAAUUUUUCAUCACAUAACUCCAGUAUGAGUAAUUUUUUCCAUCAAACCUUACACUAAUAGAUUGAAGUGAGUCAUCUUUUUCACCCGCCAUAUUCGACAAAUGCAGAAACAAAAAGAAGAACAAAUGACCAACAAGAAAUUGCAACCAACAACCACCACAAUAACAAGAUCAAUUCAGAUAUCGACACUAACCAAACUUAAUUUCGACAAAAUAACGAGUCGUCACAACCAAUCAAACCAAGACAAAUUUUUUGUUUAAUUGUAGAA